GACGAACCGUGCGAACGUUGUUCGGAAUCACUGGGCUUAAAGGGCGCGUAGGCGGCCUGCUAAGUCGAACGUGAAAUCCCUGGGCUCAACCCAGGAACUGCGUCCGAUACUGGUUGGCUUGAAUCCGGGAGAGGGAUGUGGAAUUCCAGGUGUAGCGGUGAAAUGCGUAGAUAUCUGGAGGAACACCGGUGGCGAAGGCGACAUCCUGGACCGGCAUUGACGCUGAGGCGCGAAAGCCAGGGGAGCAAACGGG
rnacentral:rRNA from 1 species